AUUGAACAGUAUGAGAGAGUCAAGAUGAUUGUUGGAUUUAAAAUGCUUGAAAAAUACAACCAAAUGAAGACAAAAAAUGCAUCAACAAACAAAUCAACUAAUGGAAUGUUGGGGCAUCAGUACCUAGUUCUGACUCUAAAAGCAAUUGUUCAAAAUAAAUGGAGAAUGUGACACAGAUGAUGACCCUGCUUGCAUAUAUUAACAUUAUAAAGGGACAAACAGUUAAUUGAUGCAGUUUAAAUUCAAAGCGGAACAGUGUUUUGUGAUGGAAAUAUGAAUCCUUUUGGCUUGGAAGAUUGUCAGGAACAUGAAGAAACUGAAUCCAUUAUAAACAUAUGUACACAAACAGACAAAAUAACAACAACACUGGUUGAUACAAUUCUAGGAACUGGUGAAGAAGUUAAGUCUUACAAAAUACAGAAGACUUGCAACGGAAA